UUUCAAAAGAACAGGAUGGAGUCUAAUUGGUGUUGCCAUUUGUUGAUUCUACAGUCUUGACCUAGAUGCGCAGAAUUCAUGUUAAAAUUCCAGCUAAAAUUAUAGCUGUAGGAGCCAACAAAAGUACAUAUAUAUACAUCAGCCACCGAAACUACACAAGAUUGAUGGAGAUUUUAAAAAAAGAUUACAAGAGCUGAAGGGCUUUAACACUACAAGAACAACAAUGCCAAUGAACCAGAGCUUUCUGAUACUAGAACAAUAUUCAAAGAAUGUACAUGGACAGAGCUAUGGCUCCAACUGCAUAUGUGGAAGAGAAUAGACUUGGUGGGCACCAAUGGAAGGAGAAGUCCUUGGUCCUCCCUAGGUUUGACUCCAAGUUCAAGGACCUUUUCUUCUUGCGAAAAAGUGUAAAGGUCAUGAGUUCUCAGGAAAACAACUGUGCCCUUCACAACACUUGGCUUUUGGAAUAAAGAAAUAAAUGAUAUAAA